AUUGAACGCUGGCGGCAUGCCUUACACAUGCAAGUCGAACGGCAGCAUGGAGGAGCUUGCUCCUCUGAUGGCGAGUGGCGAACGGGUGAGUAAAGCAUCGGAACGUACCGUGUAGUGGGGGAUAACGUAGCGAAAGUUACGCUAAUACCGCAUACGCACUGAGGUGGAAAGCAGGGGAUCGCAAGACCUUGCGCUAUACGAGCGGCCGAUGUCAGAUUAGCUAGUUGGUAGGGUAAAGGCCUACCAAGGCGACGAUCUGUAGCGGGUCUGAGAGGAUGAUCCGCCACACUGGGACUGAGACACGGCCCAGACUCCUACGGGAGGCAGCAGUGGGGAAUUUUGGACAAUGGGGGAAACCCUGAUCCAGCCAUGCCGCGUGAGUGAAGAAGGCCUCGGGUUGUAAAGCGUCUUUCGGUCGUGGGAAGAAAGUACGACACAGGCUAAUACUCUGUGUGGAGUGACGGUACCAGCAUAAGAAGACACCGG
rnacentral:rRNA from 1 species